AAGGUCAGUCUCCAAGGGUGGAGACUAGCACCAUGGACAGCGCAGUGCUGGCCAGGGCUCGGGGAGGCUAGGGAGCUUGAACCCAUAGCCUGCUGGGCUGCAGGCCCUGAAGGAAGGGCCUAGCAGGUGCAAGGGGCCAUAGGGGAAGUGGCCCAGGGAAGCAGACAGAGGAGGGGAGAGGAGGACAGCGAGGCUGCUGCCAGAGGGUCCCUGGGCCACGACCUGAGUAGAGGGCGGGCCUGGGUCCCCCUUCACUCCCUGCAGUACAUCCAGCCAAUGGCUGUAGGGAGCGGCCAUUAUACUACGCCAGAUCCCUGACAAGAAGGGAUUGGACUCAGAGGGUGGUUGCACAUACUGGCUGGGGUGUGGGACUGCUGAUCAUGACCCCCCGGAAGGGGGUGCAGAUGGACUAAGGGGCACUGCUGGAGGGCAGUGCCCUCAAAGAUGCUGCCAAGCAGGCAGCAAUGCGGGUCCAGAGGGCAGAACGAUGGAUGGGACACCACCAGGAGGAGGCGCUCCACUGGACAGAGCUAAUUCCUGGAGUCACCAGCAGGAGGCGCCAGGUGUGGUACGUUGGCAUUCUGCUGGAGAAACCGCCUAUCAGACCCUUCUAAAGCACUUUACAAACUACACACACAAUUAUUUCAACUGCUAUGGGCAUGCAGCCACCUCUGGGGUGGAACACAGCAGCAAACACCACCUAUGAUGGACUGGAAGAAAUGGGAACACCCAACGAAUGACUACAAACUAACCAAUCAACUGGUCAGGAAGCACAACACUUGAAAAAGUUAAUGAUCUGUCAAGUGCAGCAAUGGCAUCCUGAUGGCUUCUGCAUCAGAAGGAGGAAAUGGAGAGGAAGGACCACUGGCCCAGGGCAUAACCAGAGGGGAAGUGUAAUGAAGAUCCUGAGCAGGAAUGGUGGAUGCUGCUGGCUGCUCCCUGCUGGGCAGAGGCAGCUAAGGGGAGCAGAAGAUUGAGAUUGAGCUCCUUGCUUCUCAUCACUAUCGGGCAGGUUUUCUAAUCCUGCAGUCAUUCUCGUGGCUCUUCUGUGAACCAUCUUCAAUUUGUCUGCAUCCUUCUUGAAUCGCGGACACCCAGAAUGGACACAGGAUUCCAGCAGCAGUCCCAGCCAUGCCAAAUACAGAGAAAUCAGUGAUGUCAGAUUCCCCAGCAGUGCUGCAUGAACAGGCUUCAGUCACGCCCUGGUGAGACCCCACUUCUAGAGAUAAAGCAGAGUUCAUUCUCUGUGCACCUUUGAGACUCUGGCUUCUCUGCAGAGAUUACCACUUGACAAGCACCAAUGGUGCUAGUGGUUUCUGUGGUGGGGACAGGUGGCUAUUAAGGACCCACCAACUGAUUUCACAUAAGCUACUGUACCACCUCCUGCUGACCAAGCAUCUUCACUCUCCACAGACUGCAUGCUGGGUUUGGACCUGUCACCUAGACCAUUGAGGCUACAAUCCAGGCCCUUGUGGGAGGAGAGCUGACCAUUGAAACAAAUGCUUUGUUACUUACACAUAAAAUAAAUGAUUAAAGUUUUUUCAUUCUGCUUUGCCUCUGGCAUCUAUUCAUCCAUUUAAAAUAAACCCUGCCCACACCUUGUCCAUAUGGUGUUCUCCGUCUCCAUUUCUCUUGUGUUUUGCAUGCCAUCAUGGUUCUGUUUUCAUGUGCUUCUCUGGCCAGGUACCAGCAAGAAUCUACAUGUACUCUGGGAUUAGUGCCCUCUGGCUAGCCACUCCUUGUGAGUGGCCUGAUGUCUGAGUUGUUCCACAUUUAACCAAAACAGAGAUGCUGAUGUAUUUUACCUUUCUCCUCAGGGGAUGGACUGGUGCAGUUCACUAUUUUAU